GACGAACGCUGGCGGCGUGCUUAACACAUGCAAGUCGAACGGUAAGGCCCUGCUUUUGUGGGGUGCUCGAGUGGCGAACGGGUGAGUAACACGUGAGUAACCUGCCCUUGACUUUGGGAUAACUUCAGGAAACUGGGGCUAAUACCGGAUAGGAGCUCCUGCUGCAUGGUGGGGGUGGGAAAGUUUCGGCGGGUGGGGCUGGACUCGCGGCUUAUCAGCUUGUUGGUGGGGUAGUGGCUUACCAAGGGUUUGACGGGUAGCCGGCCUGUGAGGGUGACCGGCCUCAUUGGGACUAAGAGAGGGCCCAGACUCGUACGGGAGGCAGUAGUGGGGAAUAUUGCACAAUGGGCGCAAGCCUGAUACAGAAACGCCGCGGGCGGGAUGACGGCCUUCGGGUUGUAAACCGCUUUCGCCUGUGACGAAGCUUGAGUGACGGUAAUGGGUAAAGAAGCACCGGCUAACUACGUG
rnacentral:rRNA from 1 species